CUGCAUUCUGUGCCAUUCCUUCCAGUUGAGAGGAAUUUCAAUUAGCUGUAGCUACCACUUACACCUGAUGUUUAUCACAACUUGAAAACUGGGGGCUCAACAACUCCUAGCCCACUUCCUGCCUCAGAGGUGCACAGCCUGAGAUGACCCAGAGAAUCUUAGAUUAGCAGAGCCCAUGACCAUCUCCCUUCACUUGUAUUCUGAGCACCUCAGCCAGAUGGAAUAGUUUUAUUUAUUUUUAUUUUUAAUGAUAUGUAUUUUCUCCUUUUUUGUUAUUUAUUUAUUUAUUUAUUUUUGAGAGAGAGAGAGAAUUUUUUUUUUUUGGUAUUUAUUUUUCAGUUUUCGGUGGACACAACAUCUUUAUUUUAUUUGUAUGUGGUGCUGAGGAUUGAACCCAGCGUCCCGCGCAUGCCAGGCGAGCACAUUACCACUUGAGCCACAUCCCCAGCCCUCCUUUUUUUAUUUUUAAUUGCAUAUUUUUAUUCUAUACUUUCUUUUUUACCCUUUUAUUAUUUUUAUUUAUAUACUUUUAAAAAUUUUAUUCUUUGUUCUUCAUUCUAAUGUUUUCAAACAAUUUGUUUACUUUUUUCAUUUUAAAAAAUAUUUUCUUUUGUUUAAUCCCAGGGCUGCACAUGCUCCAGCAUAGUGUUUACCAAUCAAAGGUAAAACUUGGAAGAAGACUCACAAGAAAGAGUUUGGACAUUUAUUAGUCACUCAUUUCCCAGGGUCAGCAGGCUAGAAGAAUUAGAGGGCUGCAGUGGGAAUAUACAGGAUAGGUCACAAGCCAAUUGUGCAGAUAGAUUUCUUCAGAUGUUUUAUGAGUAUACUAUUUUACUUUAAAAUCAUGGUUGCUUUACUUUGAUUCCAACCUAAAGACUGCAGACAUUUCUUUCAUCAUCACAUUCCUUGGAGUCUUUCAGGAGCAAGUUUUUCUAGGCACCAAUUUACUUAAAACAGAGAAAAGAUCAUACCUGAAAUAAACUCUUACCAGAGUUUGCAUUGUGUCCUUGGCUCUUGUGUCUUCACAUGAGAGGAUUUAAAGCAAGGCAUGAGACUUGGUAAUAGUAUAACAAAGUUUAUUAGAAGAGAAAGAAGUGGAGGAAAGCACCCUCAAGGGAGAUAGAGAGACUUCUGGCUGCUUGGGGACCUCACAUUCUACUCUGAGCACUAGACAAGUCUUACUCCACCAGGGAGGGGUUAGGCACACGUAGGAAAGCUCUCUUUGGGUUUGUGUAGUCUCCUAUUAUCUAUCCUGGAUAAAUCAUGAUGUUCAGAGAGCAUCAGGCAUUUCAUAAAGUCUACUGCCAUGCACCACUAAGCCUCAUCUCCUCACCUCUCCCUUUGCACUGAAAAAAACAUGGUGAAGUAAGAUUCAACUCUAUUUGGUUUACCCCAUAAUAGCUGUUUCUUUUCACAGCAUUUUCAAACCAGUGUCAGAGAAAGCAAUUCUGAGGUAUGUAAUUAGUUAUGAAUAGGAUAAACCCUUCCCUCUCUUACUGUAGCAUCUUAAUCUACUGUAUUUGGACAUAUGAAAUGGAAACAAAUUUGUACAAUUGUCCUAUGCCAUCCUUUUUUGUGUGAUACUUUCCAACUCCCUUGUCCCUGCCAAAUGCUGAAAACAUUAAUUGAACAGAAGAAAGUGAAGAUGCUCUAAAAAUGCAAUCUUCUGUUUCAAAAUCAUUAAUUACUCAAAAUCUAAAUGUUUUUUGGUGUUUUAACCUCAUCUGCUCAUGUGCUUCUAUCACCUUCAUUUUACCUUUGCUGUGAUUUUAAGAGUUCAUACACAUUGGCUCUGCAUUUGUAGAGAAUCUUGUUUUUUAUUACAUCUUCAUUCCCUGUCAUUUACUGUCUACUAG
rnacentral:lncRNA from 1 species